AGGUUCGAUUGGUUGCCGGUUUGGUUUUUAAACCGUCUCUCGCAUUUGCGGGAGUGCUGCCUUGGGUUUGUCGGAGUUUCAUACAGUGCUUCCCCUCUCAGACGCUGUGGGGUAGGAUGAAGGCUACUUGCAGGUCCAGUGCAGUGCUGCCAGAUUUCUCCUGGGUUUACAGCCCAGUCGCUUACAAAAUAACCCAAUUGUUUUAACUCAAAGAAAAUUUAUUAUUAACACACGGGCCUAUGUAUGCAUGCAUGCAUGCCAAAAAAAAAAAAAACACUCAAAAGCCGGUACGGUGGUACUGUAUUCCAAACACUAUUGCAAACAUGAAAACAGUUUCAAUCUUUUAAAGUUCUACCACUAAUCUAAUUACAUUAGCAACCCGCGGCUCCUUAAUAUCUCCCGCGGGUGUGUUUUUUGAAGUAGCCCAAUACCGCGGGAAAACCGCGGACCUGUCAACACUGGUCCGGUGCGCCUAACAGAACAUAAACAACCAAUCACAGGUUUUUGGGGUUGCAGGGAGCAGCUGGAGAGGCAAAGCUUGGGAUUCUGAUAAGAUUAUUCCCCCCCCCGCCAAGUACGGAGGCCGGCACACGGUCACCAUGAUCCCGGGGGAUGGGAUCGGGCCGGAUUUGCUCCGGCACGUCCAGGAUGUGUUCCGGUACUCGUGUGUGCCCGUGGAUUUCGAGGUGGUUCACGUCAACUCUGCCAUGAUGGAGGAGGAUGACAUCAACAACGCCAUCACAGCCAUCCGACGCAAUGGAGUGGCACUGAAGGGAAACAUCGAAACCAGCCACACCAUGCCCCCCUCCCACAAAUCCAGGAACAACCUGCUCCGCACUAGUCUGGACCUGUACGCCAACGUGAUUCACUGCCAGAGUCUGCCGGGCGUGCAGACGAGACACAGAGACAUCGACAUCUUGAUCAUCCGAGAGAAUACAGAGGGAGAGUACAGCAGCCUGGAGCACGAGAGUGUCCCUGGCGUGGUGGAGAGUCUCAAGAUCAUCACAAAGUCGAACUCUCUGCGCAUCGCGGAUUACGCCUUCCGCCUGGCGAGGGAGAAGGGCAGGAAGAGGGUCACUGCCGUGCACAAAGCAAACAUCAUGAAGCUGGGUGAUGGGCUGUUCCUGCAGUGCUGUAAAGAGGUGGCUUCUGGAUAUCCAGACAUCAUUUUUGACAGCAUGAUCGUGGACAACACCACCAUGCAGCUGGUCUCGAAGCCCCAGCAGUUUGAUGUCAUGGUGAUGCCCAAUCUCUAUGGUAACGUGGUCAGCAACGUGUGCGCGGGGCUGGUGGGGGGGCCCGGCCUGGUCCCCGGGGCCAACUUGGGGCGAGACUACGCCGUCUUUGAAACGGCCACCAGGAACACGGGGAAGAGCAUCGCCAACAAGAACACGGCCAACCCCACCGCCAUGCUGCUGGCCAGCUGUAUGAUGCUGGAUCACCUGCAGCUCCACGAUUACGCUGCGUUAAUCCGAAGCGCUAUUCUGAGGACCAUGAACGAGACCCGGAUGCACACGGCUGAUAUUGGGGGUCAGGGCACCACGUCAGAGGUAGUUCAGAGCAUCAUGAGGCUGAUGCAGGGAGCCUCUCUGCGCAGUGCGGCCGCUUUCUGAGUCCCGGCGUGGGUGAGGAGGCUACCCCUGGGGUACUGGGGUAUUGGGGCACUGGGCUGUGUGAUGGAAGGGGAGAGUCCAGAGGUGACAGACACAGAGAGAAGGAGAGGCGAUUUACCAAGUGCGGGAUUAAAACUGAACAAGAAUUAAUUGCAAGGCUUUCAACACCUCACAAGUCGCUUCUCCUCCUCCUCUUCCUCCUCUUCGUCUGUCAGUUGGUCACUAUGCAGUUGCGCCUGGCAGCUGAAGGGAUAUUCACAAUGACGUGGCGCACCGCGCGCCCGGUACUCCCUCGCACAGCAGAGCGCCUCCUCGGUAACCAUCCUUGCAGAUCUCACGGCACCGAGCAACGUUUAAACGUGUCCUCUUAAUGUAUUUCAGUGGGUGCUUUGCUGUGUCAGUUUUUGUAAAGUCCUGACUUGCCUUUCUUCCUUCUAUCCCAUAAUAACCCUAUUUUCCAAACAGACUCUUUAAAUGUAAGCUUUUUUUUUCAUCAACAGAAGUUUUUGCAUUGCCUAGAAUUGUAGAAUUCAGACAUAAUUAAAAAAAAUUGUAAUAAAUAUAUAUAUAUAUCUCAA